UGGGAAUUAUUUCUGUGAAGCCCAUAAUGGAAUAGGACGUCAGAACUCCACCUUACUUCUGAUUGCUGUGGCAGGAGCAUGGACAUCAACAGCUAUUGGAACAAGCCUUGCUGUAGUCUUUGCCGUCUUACUCCUCGUUGUAUUCAUCCUGACAAGAAAAAAGAGAGCCUCAAAGCGAUCGGCUGAGAUUGGAGAGACAGCAGGUGACACCCAGGGACAGGGCAGGCAAGAGGAGCAGGACCUCAAUUAUUCCAGCGUUCAGUUCAUCACAAACCCAGAGCCAGAGCCUCUCCGCUCCUGCACCAGACGAGUUCAACCAGAG